ACAAUGUGGUUGGUGGGUACAACUGCACAUGUAAAAGUGGUUUCAAUACGAGUAACGGUGGAAUAGAGUUGCUCACAGACCAAUGCCUUGACAUCAAUGAAUGUGACUUGUCCAACAAUAACAACUGCUCAGUUAAUGCAACCUGUAACAAUUUUGUUGGUAGAUACAACUGCACGUGUAAAAGUGGUUUCAACACAACUAAUGGCAGAGUUGAGUUGCUCUCAAAUCAAUGUCUAGACAUUAACGAAUGUGAAUUGUCGAGC
rnacentral:lncRNA from 1 species